GGGGCCACUAAUGUAACAGUCUUGCAUGUGCACUUAUCGUCAUUGUCUAACUGUUGAAACACUUUUGUUCAAAGCUUUUGAUCACUUUUCUCCUCUAAAAAGCCUUCCAUGUCCUCUCCAGGGCUUUUCUUACAUUUUCUUAUUGUACAUGGGGUUGUCUUCAGUUAUUUCCCCUGGGAGCAGCAGUGAGGUGCUCCUCUAGAACUUAGCGAGACUAUAUUCAUUUAUACUUCACCUUGUUACCAAAAACAUGUGAGGCAUCAACUUGGAAAUAGAGGACAUGGGGUCACCUAGGAAACUUUGUGUGACAUAUAAGAUUUAAUGCAUAUUAUCUCCCAGGUCAAGUCAGUCUUACUGAAGGUGUUAAUAUAGCCAAAAGAAAUAUAUUGUUUUUUAAAUUUCAAUUUUGAAAAGAUAAAAACAAAAAACCCCAAUACCCUGUGCUGUGGAAUUGAAAUUGCAAUUGUUUUGUGAAGCAGUUUGGAGGUCUGUGCUGAGACCUUAAGAAGUUCAUGUUCAAGUCCAAUGAUUCCACUUGCUGAAAAUAAUUCUAAAGGAAUAAUCAGAGGUGAUUUUGUGCAAAGAUGUUUACUGAUGCAUUAUUUAUGCAGAGACAAGGGAAACAUCCAAAUUGGGAAAUGAUGAAAUUAUGGAGCAGUUGUGUAAUGGAAUAUUAGGCAACCAGUAACAAGGGUCUGCAGGAAGAAAUUGUUAUGAUUGGGAAAUUGGUCCCAAUGUAAAAUGCAAGUGAUUCAAAGGUAUAUGAGGAUUGAUUCAAUUCUGUUAAAACCGUGUGUGUGUGUGUGUGUGUGUGUGUGUGUGUGUGUGUGUGUGUGUUUUCAUUGAUCAACACAUGUUUUAAACACACUGUGCUUGGUACUGGGGCCCUGUUGGAAAGAAGAAAAGACAUGUUCACUUCCUUCACUGUGAUUCCAGAUUAGUGGGGAAAGUUCAUGCUGAUUGGUGCUGAUGCUGAUGGGGAAUAGCCAGAUUCACACUGCAAAAGGACCAAGAAGAAGACAGAGCAAGUAAGAAAGUUUAUUGGUUUGAAAAAACCGAGUGAGUUUUGAAGGGAAUAAAUUUUUGGGGGGUGGGAGAGAAUUGUAGGGGUGAGACACUGAGACAAUCAAUCAAAUGAGGUAAGAGGGUUUUUAAGAAUUUCUGCUAAAUAUGUUCCUAUUUUGUUUUUUCCUUUUUUAGCAGAAGACUAUUGGAAAUACUUAAGUUACUUGUCAAUUAUUUUAGAUGCUGAGCUGAGAUAUCUUUGGGUAUGACACCAUGCUGACGUGAAACAUUCCAGAGCCCUUAGCUUACCACGAAAAUGACCUACUGCAGAGACAAAACGGAAGCCAUCAGCUGGGAACCGAGUCUUUCCACUACCGCUGCAAGGGGCCUUCCUCUCUUCUUGGCAUGUGCUAGUGGAGCCACUCCACCCUGAUCUAUUCACCUGUUGGACACCAAGUCAGAUGACAAAAGAACUUACAAAAAGAAGAUCCUGCUGACAAAUGACUUUGUCUCUUUUCCUAAUCUUGAUCCAAAGGGAGGGACAGAUGGCAACUGAGCGUCAAGUUUCAGUUACUGGCAACUGACCACGAUCUGGAGGCAGAUGGUCCUUUUUCUGAUACACGGUCAAAAGGUUGAUGCUAGUAACCUAACGCUUCAUCACCUCACUUCAUCUCAUCACGUAGGCAUUUUAUCAUCUCACACCAUCCUACAAGAAAGGUGAGUUCAGUACAGUAAGGUAUUUUGAAAGAGCAAAAGAGCCCUUCUUCUGUCUCCUUCACAUAAGUUGUAUUACAACAUACUAUUGUAAUUGUUCUAUUUUAUCAUUAGUUCUAUUUUAUUAUUGUUGUUAAUCUCUUACUGCACAUAAUUCAUUAAUUUAACUUUAUCAUAAGUAUGUACCCAUAGGAAAAAACAUAGCAGAUGUAGGGUUCAAUAGUAUCUGUGGUUCCAGGCCUGCCCUGGGGGUCUUGGAACAUAUUCCCUGCAGAGAAGGGGAAUGUACAAUACUCAACUGAGUUGUCUGUUUUUUAGCUUGGCUUUCAGUUCAUCAUGUUCAAACUUGAAGAUACCCGAGUUUUAGAGUCUUGUCACAUACAGAGUUUUUGCCCAUAAACUUUUUGUUUUCCUAAUACGUUGGAGAUGGCAGUUGGUUAUGUAUCAGAGGGCUUCUUGUGCAAAGAUAUCUCACCACCUGGUCCAUUAGUGAUGUCUGAGUGCCAUCAAUAGAGAACCAUUCCUUUGAUUUAUUAGGCUUUUCUUCAUCUGGCCAUUUUUGUCUUAAAACUCAUAUGCCCCUGGAAGGGAUAAAGAAAGCAAAAGUGAGUGUGAGAAAACAAUUUUCACCUACUUGAGGAUAUGCCCAGCAUUCUGAUGUUUGCAAUGACAGCCUUCAGGAAUUUGCGAGAUCCUUUUUUUUUUUUUUCAUAUAUAUUUUUUCAGUUUAUUUAUUUAUUUGGAGAGAAAGAGAGAUCAAACAGGGGAAUGGCACAGAGAGAGGGAGAGAGAAUCCCAAGCAGGUUACAUACUGUCAGCAUAGAGCCUGAUGUGGGGCUCAAACCCACAAACCAUGAGAUCAUGACCUGAGCCAAAACCAAGAGUUGGAAGUUUAACCGUGUGAGCCACUGGGGGCCCCAGGAAUUGCAAGAUCCUAAAUCAUUAUCAUUUUUAUUCUGUCUACUCCUGUUACCAGAACAGGUUCUGGUUCUUAAAUUGGAUUUUGGGUUUAUGUGUGUUCUUUUUUAUUAUCCAGAGCACAUAUAUGUUUCACGUGUAUUCUUUUGCAUAUACCAAAAUACUGAACAAUAAAAUUUUAAAAAUUCACGUAUGCAAGACAAAUUUGCAAAUAGGGGUCAUUUCAAAUUUUUGUGAUUGUCAGCGUUUUAAAUAAAGCACUUAAAUAUCUUGGCCAAAGCACAUUAUACUUUGAAGGCCAGCAUCUGAACAGGAAGCAUCUUUGAAUUCUUUUUGUUUUCAGUUGAUGGUUCUUGCUAAGGUCCAGUCUAACUAGAUAGUGCACUGACUUAGUGAAAAGAGUCACAGUUGUUCUGAGGACUUUGGAAAUGCUCGAUGAAGGUUCUGGACUGGGUAUGUGACUACUAUUGGCUCUACAUCCAAACUGGAACUUGUAGAAUUUUCAAUAUCAUAAGAGAUCUAAUUUAGAGUAGGACUAAUAAUUUUUUCCCAAACGCUUUGCAUGAUAUUUAGUAGAUGUGUAGUCCUGGGUCUUAAUGUUCAUCAGAGAAACAGAAUUAACAGGAUACACACACACACACACACACACACACACUCACACUCACACACACACACACACACGUAUGUAUGUAUAAAUAUAAUUUGUGUGUGUAUGUGUGUGUACAGAUAGAUAUUGAGAUAGAGUGGUGGGGGAGAGAGAUUUAUUAUGAAGAAU